GAAAAGUAAAGACGAGGAGGUAGAGAAGAAGUCUAUUUCUCUAAAGACUUCAAGCUCAAAGUCCUCAAAUAAUGAGAAAGUAAUUAUGAAACAAGAGAUGACAAGAAUUUUGAUGAUGAAGAUAUGUUGUUUGUCAAAAGGUACCAAAUGUAUAUAAGGAAAAAUGGAGUCAAGUACUCCAACAAUAACCUAAUCAAAUUUAGAAGGCUAUCUAACUCCUCAAUGGAAGAAUAAAAUAAGAAGGGUAAAC
rnacentral:lncRNA from 1 species